ACUGAACGCUGGCGGCAUGCCUUACACAUGCAAGUCGAAUGGCAGCACGGGAGCAAUCCUGGUGGCGAGUGGCGAACGGGUGAGUAAUAUAUCGGAACGUGCCCAGUCGUGGGGGAUAACGUAGCGAAAGCUACGCUAAUACCGCAUACGAUCUAUGGAUGAAAGCGGGGGAUCGCAAGAGCUCGCGCGAUUGGACCGGCCGAUAUCAGAUUAGGUAGUUGGUGAGGUAAAGGCUCACCAAGCCGACGAUCUGUAGCUGGUCUGAGAGGACGACCAGCCACACUGGGACUGAGACACGGCCCAGACGCCUACGGGAGGCAGCAGUGGGGAAUUUUGGACAAUGGGCGCAAGCCUGAUCCAGCAAUGCCGCGUGCAGGAUGAAGGCCUUCGGGUUGUAAACUGCUUUUGUACGGAACGAAACGGCGAGCUCUAAUACAGUUUGCUAAUGACGGUACCGUAAGAAUAAGCACCGGCUAACUACGUGCCAGCCGCCGCCGUAA
rnacentral:rRNA from 1 species